rnacentral:rRNA from 1 species
GAUGAACGCUGGCGGCGUGCCUAAUACAUGCAAGUCGAGCGAACGGACGAGAAGCUUGCUUCUCUGAUGUUAGCGGCGGACAGGUGAGUAACACGUGGAUAACCUACCUAUAAGACUGGGAUAACUUCGGGAAACCGGAGCUAAUACCGGAUAAUAUUUUGAACCGCAUGGUUCAAAAGUGAAAGACGGUCUUGCUGUCACUUAUAGAUGGAUCCGCGCUGCAUUAGCUAGUUGGUAAGGUAACGGCUUACCAAGGCAACGAUGCAUAGCCGACCUGAGAGGGUGAUCGGCCACACUGGAACUGAGACACGGUCCAGACUCCUACGGGAGGCAGCAGUAGGGAAUCUUCCGCAAUGGGCGAAAGCCUGACGGAGCAACGCCGCGUGAGUGAUGAAGGUCUUCGGAUCGUAAAACUCUGUUAUUAGGGAAGAACAUAUGUGUAAGUAACUGUGCACAUCUUGACGGUACCUAAUCAGAAAGCCACGGCUAACUACGUGCCAGCAGCCGCGGUAAUACGUAGGUGGCAAGCGUUAUCCGGAAUUAUUGGGCGUNAAGCGCGCGUAGGCGGUUUUUUAGUCUGAUGUGAAAGCCCACGGCUCAACCGUGGAGGGUCAUUGGAAACUGGAAAACUUGAGUGCAGAAGAGGAAAGUGGAAUUCCAUGUGUAGCGGUGAAAUGCGCAGAGAUAUGGAGGAACACCAGUGGCGAAGGCGACUUUCUGGUCUGUAACUGACGCUGAUGUGCGAAAGCGUGGGGAUCAAACAGGAUUAGAUACCCUGGUAGUCCACGCCGUAAACGAUGAGUGCUAAGUGUUAGGGGGUUUCCGCCCCUUAGUGCUGCAGCUAACGCAUUAAGCACUCCGCCUGGGGAGUACGACCGCAAGGUUGAAACUCAAAGGAAUUGACGGGGACCCGCACAAGCGGUGGAGCAUGUGGUUUAAUUCGAAGCAACGCGAAGAACCUUACCAAAUCUUGACAUCCUUUGACAACUCUAGAGAUAGAGCCUUCCCCUUCGGGGGACAAAGUGACAGGUGGUGCAUGGUUGUCGUCAGCUCGUGUCGUGAGAUGUUGGGUUAAGUCCCGCAACGAGCGCAACCCUUAAGCUUAGUUGCCAUCAUUAAGUUGGGCACUCUAAGUUGACUGCCGGUGACAAACCGGAGGAAGGUGGGGAUGACGUCAAAUCAUCAUGCCCCUUAUGAUUUGGGCUACACACGUGCUACAAUGGACAAUACAAAGGGCAGCGAAACCGCGAGGUCAAGCAAAUCCCAUAAAGUUGUUCUCAGUUCGGAUUGUAGUCUGCAACUCGACUACAUGAAGCUGGAAUCGCUAGUAAUCGUAGAUCAGCAUGCUACGGUGAAUACGUUCCCGGGUCU